rnacentral:pre_miRNA from 1 species
UCUUAUGCGUAAGUAAAGAAAGUAGUUUCUCAAGAUGGAAUCUACUCCUUGUGAAGAUGCUGUGAA